rnacentral:lncRNA from 1 species
UUGAAAUUGAUCAUCCCAAGUCGGGAAAAUAAAAAUUAAAAAAAAAAAUCUUAUAACAAACAAGAAUGUGGAUAGUAAACAUCAUUGGACGUACGACAACUCUUGUAGUUACGCAGGCAAUGAAAAAACUUUCUUAUCCUCGUUAGAAACCGCCCGUUUCUGAGUUUGAAAUCCUGCAUCUUCUUCAAAUUUCUAGCUGAUCUAAGCCUCCUGCAUGUAACCCUUUUCACUUUAAUGGAAAAUUUAUUAAACCUCUCUGUGACAGUUUGCUUCCUGCUGAACUUGUAGCUUCUCAAGAAUAUUUGCCUCUUCUCCAUCUUAAUUCUGAACGUGUCCAUUGAAACUGCAUUCAUAUCGUUAAGUCCCAUACUUAAACACGAAAAUUUGUGCUGCGCUCGUAUAGAGUUUUGAAGAGAGGAAGAAUAUAUGGCAAAUAGAUUGAGGGAGAGGGUUUAUAUAUACAUAAAGUAAGAAGGAAUUGGACUUCUCUAAUUUCUUGUAUGGUAAGCAUAGGACUUCUC